AAAUAGCUGUUACAGUGGUUAGUGUGCUCGGCUGCGGAGCCCGAGGUCGCUGGUUCGAUUCCCCCUCCAGAUG
rnacentral:tRNA from 1 species